rnacentral:lncRNA from 1 species
GCUGGGCCUUUUGGGUUGUCCUGCUGAAAUGGGAUAGCAUGCAUAUUUCCUCUCACUCCAGGCUGUUCACAUUUGAGGCAUCCAAUUGACCAUUAAUUGCACAAUAUGGGAGACCAAUGCCCUUGCAGGCAAGUCACACGUUCCAGCGAUGGUCAAAACUUUGCAUAGAAAAGACUGAGGUCUUGCCGUAUCUAAAAAAAAACACCAUUUUCUUCAAGUGUUGCUUAAAGGUUUCAGGAAUGUCAACUGUAACAGCCAUCUGAAGGAGUAGACCAAGGCGCAGCGUGGUUAGUGCUCAUCAUGUAUUUAUUUUGAUCUGAACACUGAAACAAAGAAACCAAUAACGACAGCCAAACAGUUCUGUCAGGUAAGUAAUACAAAACAGAAAUUAACCACCCACAAAACACAAUGAGAAAACCCCUACAUAAAUAUGGUCUCUAAUCAGAGGCAAUGAGAUUCAGCUGCCUCCAAUUAAAGACCAACCCCAAACAAUUCCAACAUAGAAACAGAUAAACUAGAUAUUUAAACAUAGAAAUACAAUAACAUAGAUCAACCCAAAACAAACACCCCCUGCCACGCCUUGACCAAACUAUCAUAACAAAAUGACCCCUUACUGGUCAGGACGUGACAGUACCCCCCCAAAUGUGCAGACACCGAAAUGCACAUCAAACAAAAAAACCACAAAACAACCCCAAACCUAAAGGGAGGGAAGGGAGGGUGGCCACCGUCAAUGACGGUUCUUGUGCUACACCACCCCCCCUUCCCAAUCCUCCCCCCUAAGGAGGUGGCUCAGGAGCAGGACGCAGACCCCACUCCACCACUGGCUCACCCCACUCCACCACUGGCUCACCCCACUUUGGUGGCGCCUCUAGACCUGGGUCCCUCGCCGUCGGACAGGCGGGCGACUCUGGAAGCGCCGGACAGGCGGGCGACUCUGGAAGCGCCGGACAGGCGGGCGACAUGCAGGAGGCCUGGCUCUGGGAGCAGGCACAGGAUAGACCGGGUCUUGAAGACGCACUGGAGGUCUGGAGCGCACGACCUGCACAACCCGUCCUGGCUGAGUUGUUACUGUAGCCCGGCACGGGCGGAGUGCUGCCACAGGGCGAACUGGGCUGUGCUGAGGAAUGAUGGCUGCCGUGCGUAGAGCAGGCGCGGGGUAGCCUGGGCCUAGGAGAUGCACUUGUAGGCCAGAUGUGCUGCACCGGCGCACUUCUCCCUGGCUGGAUGCCCACUCUAGCACGGCACUUGCGGGGGGCUGGUAUCGACCGCACCGGACUGUGCGUGCGGAUGGGUGAGACCGUGCGCACUUCCGAAUAGCACGGUGCUCUCCACGCCAAACGCAAUUCUGGGGCUGCCGCUCAGGCUUCCUUGCCAGCCGUGUUCCCUCAUAACAUUGCCGGUGGGCCUUCCUUCCUGCUGCCUCCACUCUCCUGGCUGCCUCCACCUGUUCCCAUGGGAGGCGAUCCCUUCCGGCCAGGAUCUCUUCCCACGUGUAGGAUCCCUUGCCAUCCAGGAUGUCCUCCCAUGUCCAGUCCUCUUUUCCACGCUGCUUGGUCUUCUUGUGGUGGGUGGUUCUGUAACGGCCGUCUGAAGGAGUAGACCUAGGCGCAGCGUGGUUAGUGCUCAUCAUGUAUUUAUUUUGAUCUUAACACUGAAACCAAUAACGACAGCCAAACAAUAACCACCCACAAAACACAAUGAGAAAACCCCUACAUAAAUAUGGUCUCUAAUCAGAGGCAAUGAGAUUCAGCUGCCUCCAAUUAGAGACCAACCCCAAACAAUUCCAACAUAGAAACAGAAAAACUAGAUAUUUAAACAUAGAAUAACAUAGAUCAACCCCCCCAAAAAAACACACAAAACAAACACCCCCUGCCACGGCCUGACCAAACUAUCAUAACAAAAUGACCCCUUACUGGUCAGGACGUGACAUCAACAUGGAAGGUUUGAGGUCCCAAAACCAAAGUCCAGCAAAAAUCAUAUGUUCCCUUUUAGUGUGUUCACUGUAGCUCAACUCAUUAAUGAUACAAUAAAAUGGCCAGACUGAGAAUUUUGAUGAUUUAAAAAUAGGCACUCCAUCAGUGUUCCAGGUAAAUUAUAUAUUUCUAGGAUCGCUUAAUGGCCCACCAACAGUUGCAUAUUUUCUGUACACCUCUCCAUCAUAUAUAUCCUCAAUGUUAUCUCUUCUCUUUUUCUGCCUGUUGAAUCUGAAAUUCAGUUUUUCUUUGAAACCCUCUUUUGCAAACAGCAUCUGCAGUUGCUCCUCGAUAGAAGCUCCAAUAAAAGAUGUUGCUGUCACGUCCUGACCCUAGUAAGAUGUCAUUUUCUAUAGUAGAGUAGGUCAGGGCGUG